CUGUAUGUUUACACCACUGAUAUAGGUUUACACCUUACACUAUCAUGGUGUCGUCUCAUACACGAGAAUUAGAUCGCUAAAUUUACACAGUUUGAGGGUAAGUUUACAGCAUAGUAUAGGUGUUCGUUAAUAUUUCAGUUUCUACUUUACACCAGAUCAGUGUAUCUUAAAAUGGUCUUAGUGUAAUUAUACACCAGGUUCAGUGUAGAUUUACCCUAAGUAAGCAUUCAUAUUUUUUACACCAUACCGGUGUAUAUUUACACAAUCAAGGUGUUUUUUCAUACACAAGAUUUGGGUAAAUUUACACCGUUUGAGGGCAAACUUACAGCAUAAAAGGUG
rnacentral:lncRNA from 1 species